rnacentral:rRNA from 1 species
GGGUUGUGAGGUUAAGCGACUAAGCGUACACGGUGGAUGCCCUGGCAGUCAGAGGCGAUGAAGGGCGUGCUAAUCUGCGAUAAGCGCCGGUAAGGUGAUAUGAACCGUUAUAACCGGCGAUACCCGAAUGGGGAAACCCAGUGUGACUCGUCACACUAUCAUUAACUGAAUCCAUAGGUUAAUGAGGCGAACCGGGGGAACUGAAACAUCUAAGUACCCCGAGGAAAAGAAAUCAACCGAGAUUCCCCCAGUAGCGGCGAGCGAACGGGGAGGAGCCCAGAGCCUGAAUCAGCAUGUGUGUUAGUGGAAGCGUCUGGAAAGGCGCGCGAUACAGGGUGACAGCCCCGUACACAAAAGCGCAUGUGCUGUGAGCUCGAUGAGUAGGGCGGGACACGUGGUAUCCUGUCUGAAUAUGGGGGGACCAUCCUCCAAGGCUAAAUACUCCUGACUGACCGAUAGUGAACCAGUACCGUGAGGGAAAGGCGAAAAGAACCCCGGCGAGGGGAGUGAAAAAGAACCUGAAACCGUGUACGUACAAGCAGUGGGAGCANNNNNNNNNNNNNNNNNCUGCGUACCUUUUGUAUAAUGGGUCAGCGACUUAUAUUCUGUAGCAAGGUUAACCGAAUAGGGGAGCCGGAGGGAAACCGAGUCUUAAUUGGGCGUUAAGUUGCAGGGUAUAGACCCGAAACCCGGUGAUCUAGCCAUGGGCAGGUUGAAGGUUGGGUAACACUAACUGGAGGACCGAACCGACUAAUGUUGAAAAAUUAGCGGAUGACCUGUGGCUGGGGGUGAAAGGCCAAUCAAACCGGGAGAUAGCUGGUUCUCCCCGAAAGCUAUUUAGGUAGCGCCUCGUGAAUUCAUCUCCGGGGGUAGAGCACUGUUUCGGCUAGGGGGCCAUCCCGGCUUACCAACCCGAUGCAAACUGCGAAUACCGGAGAAUGUUAUCACGGGAGACACACGGCGGGUGCUAACGUCCGUCGUGAAGAGGGAAACAACCCAGACCGCCAGCUAAGGUCCCAAAGUCAUGGUUAAGUGGGAAACGAUGUGGGAAGGCCCAGACAGCCAGGAUGUUGGCUUAGAAGCAGCCAUCAUUUAAAGAAAGCGUAAUAGCUCACUGGUCGAGUCGGCCUGCGCGGAAGAUGUAACGGGGCUAAACCAUGCACCGAAGCUGCGGCAGCGACACUGUGUGUUGUUGGGUAGGGGAGCGUUCUGUAAGCCUGCGAAGGUGGCCUGUGAGGGUUGCUGGAGGUAUCAGAAGUGCGAAUGCUGACAUAAGUAACGAUAAAGCGGGUGAAAAGCCCGCUCGCCGGAAGACCAAGGGUUCCUGUCCAACGUUAAUCGGGGCAGGGUGAGUCGACCCCUAAGGCGAGGCCGAAAGGCGUAGUCGAUGGGAAACGGGUUAAUAUUCCCGUACUUGGUGUUACUGCGAAGGGGGGACGGAGAAGGCUAUGUUGGCCGGGCGACGGUUGUCCCGGUUUAAGCGUGUAGGUGUGUGUUCCAGGUAAAUCCGGUUCACUUUAACACUGAGGCGUGACGACGAGGCACUACGGUGCUGAAGCAACAAAUGCCCUGCUUCCAGGAAAAGCCUCUAAGCAUCAGGUAACAUCAAAUCGUACCCCAAACCGACACAGGUGGUCAGGUAGAGAAUACCAAGGCGCUUGAGAGAACUCGGGUGAAGGAACUAGGCAAAAUGGUGCCGUAACUUCGGGAGAAGGCACGCUGACACGUAGGUGAAGUGAUUUACUCAUGGAGCUGAAGUCAGUCGAAGAUACCAGCUGGCUGCAACUGUUUAUUAAAAACACAGCACUGUGCAAACACGAAAGUGGACGUAUACGGUGUGACGCCUGCCCGGUGCCGGAAGGUUAAUUGAUGGGGUCAGCGCAAGCGAAGCUCCUGAUCGAAGCCCCGGUAAACGGCGGCCGUAACUAUAACGGUCCUAAGGUAGCGAAAUUCCUUGUCGGGUAAGUUCCGACCUGCACGAAUGGCGUAAUGAUGGCCAGGCUGUCUCCACCCGAGACUCAGUGAAAUUGAACUCGCUGUGAAGAUGCAGUGUACCCGCGGCAAGACGGAAAGACCCCGUGAACCUUUACUAUAGCUUGACACUGAACAUUGAGCCUUGAUGUGUAGGAUAGGUGGGAGGCUUUGAAGUGUGGACGCCAGUCUGCAUGGAGCCGACCUUGAAAUACCACCCUUUAAUGUUUGAUGUUCUAACGUGGACCCGUUACCCGGGUUGCGGACAGUGUCUGGUGGGUAGUUUGACUGGGGCGGUCUCCUCCUAAAGAGUAACGGAGGAGCACGAAGGUUGGCUAAUCCUGGUCGGACAUCAGGAGGUUAGUGCAAUGGCAUAAGCCAGCUUGACUGCGAGCGUGACGGCGCGAGCAGGUGCGAAAGCAGGUCAUAGUGAUCCGGUGGUUCUGAAUGGAAGGGCCAUCGCUCAACGGAUAAAAGGUACUCCGGGGAUAACAGGCUGAUACCGCCCAAGAGUUCAUAUCGACGGCGGUGUUUGGCACCUCGAUGUCGGCUCAUCACAUCCUGGGGCUGAAGUAGGUCCCAAGGGUAUGGCUGUUCGCCAUUUAAAGUGGUACGCGAGCUGGGUUUAGAACGUCGUGAGACAGUUCGGUCCCUAUCUGCCGUGGGCGCUGGAGAACUGAGGGGGGCUGCUCCUAGUACGAGAGGACCGGAGUGGACGCAUCACUGGUGUUCGGGUUGUCAUGCCAAUGGCACUGCCCGGUAGCUAAAUGCGGAAGAGAUAAGUGCUGAAAGCAUCUAAGCACGAAACUUGCCCCGAGAUGAGUUCUCCCUGAGACUUAAAGUCUCCUGAAGGAACGUUGAAGACGACGACGUUGAUAGGCCGGGUGUGUAAGCGCAGCGAUGCGUUGAGCUAACCGGUACUAAUGAACCGUGAGGCUUAACCUUACAACGCCGAAG